AAUUUGGCAAACUUGCUGAAAAGCAAGGACGCAAAGCUAAGGGUCUAACCCAGAAAUGGUAUGACAGCCGGUUGCCAA
rnacentral:ncRNA from 1 species